AGUGUAGGCGGUUACUUAAGUCGGAUGUGAAAUCCCCGGGCUCAACCUGGGAAUUGCAUUCGAUACUGGGUAGCUAGAGUUUGGUAGAGGUAAGUGGAAUUCCGGGUGUAGCGGUGAAAUGCGUAGAUAUCCGGAGGAACAUCAGUGGCGAAGGCGGCUUACUGGACCAAGACUGACGCUGAGGCUCGAAAGCGUGGGGAGCAAACAGGAUUAGAUACCCUGGUAGUCC
rnacentral:rRNA from 1 species